rnacentral:lncRNA from 1 species
UCUCUCUUAGGGAAAACCAGCACCAAAGUUCUAGAGUCUGGACGUCUGAGAUCAGGGUGCCAGCACUGUCGAGGUCACAGACUGCAGACCUCCUUGUAUCUUCAAAUGGAGGAAAGAGGACAAGAGAGCUCCUGUGGUCCCUUUUAUCAAGAUGAAUGCACAAGGAAAAUGUUGUACAUUUGCACAUUGGAGUACACUUCAGCCAUAAAAAGAAUGAGAUGCUGUCAUUUGCAACAACAGUUGAAGCCUAGUCAAGAAGAGGGCUCAGAGAAGCUUGACUAAAGUUUCAUGAAGAGAGUCUCUGUCAGUGGUGGGUCUUUGAUUCUCAAGGAAGCUGUCAGAAGCUUCAUCUAACUUCUCUUCCACUCUACUUUCUUCUGGGGAAGAAGUGACCCAACAAUUUGAUCUAAUAUUUGCCUGAUAAUAUUGAACAUCCUUGCAUCCAUUAAAGUUUACUGUUCUAAGACUUA